CAGCCGCCGCGGGAAUACGAAGGGGGCUAGCGUUGCUCGGAAUCACUGGGCGUAAAGGGUGCGUAGGCGGGUCUUUAAGUCAGGGGUGAAAUCCUGGAGCUCAACUCCAGAACUGCCUUUGAUACUGAAGAUCUUGAGUUCGGGAGAGGUGAGUGGAACUGCGAGUGUAGAGGUGAAAUUCGUAGAUAUUCGCAAGAACACCAGUGGCGAAGGCGGCUCACUGGCCCGAUACUGACGCUGAGGCACGAAAGCGUGGGGAGCGAACAGGAUUAGAUACCCCGGUAGUCCCUGUCUCUUAUAC
rnacentral:rRNA from 1 species